UCUCGACCUCAGAAUGAAACAAAUAAGCAAAAAUCUUUUUCCUUGAUCACAGAAGGAUUUACAUUGCACUCCUUGGGUCUUCAUCACAGGAACGGGUGCAGACUAAACAGAGCUGGCUAGACAGAACGAGACAUUUCCCUUCAUACUAUCCCAGGGAAUGGGUGAAACAUGAAAUCAGUAUGAGGCGCAACAACUGCUUGCUGUCACUAGAUUUUAGUAAUUUACAAGGUUAGAUUCUUUCAACACCCAGUGUACUCAAAAUGCUUCCGGAAGCCAGUCUACUUAUUUAACCAAUGAUAGAAACCAUUUCAAAAAAUACAAGCCAGCCUGAUAUUGCAGCACUGAAUGACCUAUAGGCUUUACCCUGAUACUGAAGGGCUUCAUCGAUGUAAGACAGCCUUCCUCUGUACUUAGUCCGUACUUUCAGAAAAUUUUGAUGAUCAUAAUCAUCCCAGCCUCCUUGCCGCCCUCCUGUUCGCUGAAGAAACCUUUCAAACUCUACUACUUCUUGGGGUAGAUGAUUUUCCAGUCUUUUAUCAACUGUAACCCUGGCUGAUGGUAAUUUCAAAACUUUUUCUGUUGUUAAGCUGCCUAACGCCCACAGUUCCACUUUUCUCUCAAAGAGACUGAGCUCAUUAAUGGUAGCUUUUUCCUCCUUCAAAAGCUGUUCAUAUCUGAAAAGUGACAAACACUGGAAUGUAACAAAAAAAUCCCGUAUUCAUUGUCCAUUCACCAAAAAUUAAUUUUGGAAUUGUUCAAUGCCACACAAAAGCUGUUCUUCAAAGAUUAAGAACUGCAGUGGUAAUGGCACAGUUGUAAUGAUCUGAUAAUAAAGCACUACACAAUGAGAAUUAAGUUACCCUUUUACUGAAAGCACACAUUCAUGGCACUCACACAACUCACUCAAUCCCCUCCUGACACCAGUAGAGAGAAAGGAAAAUCCCCACAAACCCACUCAGAAAACAGAACAACAGUCAUCAGCAAAACCCCCACAAUCUAAUCUCUUCUGCAGCCUUUCUCUGAAAAGUCUUUUCUUAGGCAAAUGGUUGUUACAUUGGAAUGCUGCAGGAGCCCCUCUAAAACACAGUUUAUCAGGAUUCUACCGUUGAUAGCUCCUGCUUUGAUUUACAUACCACAGGAAUCACCGGCAAAAGAGUAAAUCUAAAGAAUAGUUUGCUGGACUAAUGAGACGUUUUCAUUGUGUCUUAUGAAAGUACUUUUUCUUACAGCUGAAGCAUGUAUAAACAUACAUUUGCCUCUGUUCCUCUUUAAAAGCAUUGAUUUCAUUUUCAAUUUCUUCCAUCAUUUCCUUGAGCUUGUCAACGACUACAAGAGGAAAAGAAGAAAAAAGCAUAUAACUUAAGAAGGAUCCAGUAUUUACCAGCACUGUCCAGAAAUGCAGAGACUUCCAGGACAGAGUUCUGCUUUUGUUUGUUUUAUAACAGUUUAUAAACAGUUUAUGCAGUUAGUGAUUUUGGUUUAUCCCAGGCUGUAGCAAUCCUAUUUAGCCUGCAGGUCAUUACUCCUACAAAGCUGACAAAGAAACAUCAAAGUAAGACUUUGUCCUGUGCUGUCAGCGUGCUGUAGUCCUGACUUUGAGAAAGAUGGUAAGACAGUUGUCCAGAGAAGAUUUCUCUUGCAAUGGCAGAAAAAAGUUUUAGAAUCUGUUUUAAACCAGCAUAAAUCUUUGUGCAUACAUAUUGAACAUGUAGUUUAACGAACCUGGGUUUUGGUAAAGUUAUAUAAUCCAAAACUCUUAUUUCAGUUUUCAUGCCUUGCUAGUUCUUGGUAUCUUCACUCACACCUUAAGAAGAUAAUGAUUUUUUUGGUAGAUAAAAUACGGAAUAAAUGAAGUGGGAUGCAUUUUAUCUAGCAUCACAAAGCCCUCAGCUAGUAGGAGGGCCUCAACUUAAGGUCCACAUGAGGUAGUGGAGUAUCAGAAGCGAAUGGUUCUUUUAGUGUCCAUUUCCCAAAAGUUUCAGAACAUCUAAACUGAACAAGUUGUUGCAGCAUUUGCUAUAGAAGGACAACAACAAGCCCAACUUAUGCAAGAAACCUGUCUGUAGACGAAAAUGUUUUUAAAUCUGUCAUCGUGACUUACAUUCUGGUGUAGGCUUCACAUCCUUUAAUUGUUGCUGAAGUCUCUUCACAUUGUUUUGUAUUUUUGAUAGCUGCUGCAGGAUUUUAGCUUCUGUUAAACAAAAUAAGGUGCUGAUAAUUCUAACAGUUUCUUUGUCCAUUAAUUCCACACAAGAACAAAACCAAUGAAGUAUCCAAAAUAAACUGGGGAUUUAAUCUAAGCAGAGACACAAAUUGUGUUUGAUCAUAAGAAUCUGCUGUAAUAUCUGUAACUGCAUAUAGCUGACCACAUGGUCCAUGUACCUCCCCACGCAGCACCAACAGAUUUUAAAAUCAGUAGCUCCCAUUCCCAAGGGGGAGUUUGGAGAAUACUGCCAAUGUAGAUGACAACUUCUCUAGAGUUUUGAGGGCAACUUUGACCCUAGGCCUCAAAACACUCAUCUGUGAAGAGAAAGCAAACUUGGAAAGUGUAUGUGAAUGCACUACUUCAGCAAGAUUUAUUUGUUUGCUGUGUUAAAUAGGGUAGAAUCAAUGUUUUUGUGUACUCCAAGCAUGUGUGCAUUAAUUUGCUUUUUUACCACUUGGCUCCUCCUCAGUCCAUAAAUAAAAUACUGAGGAGGAUGAAGUUCUGGAUACAUCUUAGAUAAUAAGGAGCUCUAUCUUCCAUCGUAAAAGAUUUGGUUUAAGAAAAGGAUAAGGGAUUCCUAAAUGUAACAAGAUGUAGCUAAGAUAUGACCCUACUGGUUCCUACUUAAGACAACACAAAGUGCAAAAGCACACAGACCAUGCUGAAGUAAAUGGAAAUUUUGAGUGUUCUUGUACAUGUUCUAAAAGAUCAUAGUCCAACAGUAUGUCGCUUCCACCUAAACUGAUCUCUCUGCACUACUGAUUAUUAAACCAUUUACAUUAAAGCCAUUUAUAUUAAAGCAACAGCAGAUUAAAGAAAAAAAGGCAAACAAUAAAUCUGAAUAAAACCCCA